AACGAACGCUGGCGGCAUGCCUAACACAUGCAAGUCGAACGAGACCUUCGGGUCUGUUGUCCCCGGGGGUCGUAAGCGGUGGGAACCUUCCCUUGGGUUCGAAAUACCUCCCGGAAGGGGAUACUAUUACGGAAUAAUUUCUUCGGCCCAAGGAUUUAUCGCCUUUGAAUGGGCCCGCGUUGGAUUAGUUAGUUGUUAGGGUAAGAGCUUACCACGGCGACGAUCAAUAGCUGGUUUGAGAGAAAGAUCACCGACACGGGGACUGGGAAACGGCCCAGACUCCUACGGGAGGCAGCAGUGGGGAAUAUUGGACAAUGGGCGAAAGCCUGAUCCAGCAAUGCCGCGUGAGUGAUGAAGGCCUUAGGGUUGUAAAGCUCUUUUACCCGGGAUGAUAAUGACAGUACCGGGAGAAUAAGCGCCGGCUAACUCCGUG
rnacentral:rRNA from 1 species